AGGCAAUCUAUAAAACAAUACAUUUACAUAUUAUUGUGCUGAGACUCCCACACUUACAUUGUGCUAGCCAAAUGGAUAAUAAAUGUAAACAAAAUAUGUUACUUUAUUUUGUGAUUCCAUCAACACACGUCCAAUAUCUGGUACACCAGAGUUUUUGACAGGAGAAAAAGACAAAUCUUGUUUCUGGAAAGAAUGUAAACAGCUGCAUGUGCAGUCACAUAUACCAAUCUCAAUGUCAAAGGGACAUUAUAGUAAGUUGUUUAUGGGUCUGACAUUUAGUCAUUUUUUAAAACUAUCCACUG